rnacentral:rRNA from 1 species
AGCUGCAGUAUCUUGACUGUACAAAGGUAGCAUAAUCAUUAGUUUUUUAAUUGAAAGCUGGAAUGAAUGGCCGAAUAAGGAAAUAACUGUCUCUUUUUAAUUAAGUUGAAUUUUAUAUUUAAGUUAAAAAGCUUAAAUUUUAUAAAAAGACGAGAAGACCCUAUAGAGUUUAAUAAAUUUGUAUUUCUAUAGUUUAGGAUUUUAUUAUGUAGAGAUAUUAAUUUAUUUUGUUGGGGUGACAGUAGAAUUUAAUAAACUUCUUUUUUGUAGUCAUUGAUUUAUGAAUAAAUGAUCCUAAUAUUUAGAUUAAAAGAAUAAAUUACCUUAGGGAUAACAGCGUAAUUUUUUUGGAGAGUUCUUAUCGAUAAAAGAGAUUGCGACCUCGAUGUUGGAUUAAAGUUUAAUUUUGGUGCAGAAGCUAAAAUAUUAAGACUGUUCGAC